rnacentral:lncRNA from 1 species
UUUAGAAUUGUUGGCUUAAUAAAUAUGUAUACAUACUUCACACAUUAGCCAUUAAACAUAACAAAAUUCUGAACUUUAAGCAGGUAACUACCCUUUGGCUUGCAAUUGGUAAUAAAUCAUAAUUUACACACUUUAAAAUAUGAUCUUUUAAUACAGAUAAAGUUGUAAUUGAGAAAUUAUUAUACCCAUGAAAGUGAUGUACAGUAAGCGUUCUUCUUCAGUCCGUAUGGAACUAUUUCUUUUCAUCUUUCAUCGCUAACUGCUGAACAUUGAGGAGAAAAAAAUAAAUUUCGGUUAAUAAACAGAUAAACCACUAGAGGUCUCUUUACGUUUCCUCUUAUACCACAUUUCAAACAAUGGCAUCAUCGAAUUGUUAAAUAUGGUUACUGUUUAAGAAUAGUGCAAG